CAAACUGCGAAUACCGGAGAAUGUUAUCACGGGAGACACACGGCGGGUGCUAACGUCCGUCGUGAAGAGGGAAACAACCCAGACCGCCAGCUAAGGUCCCAAAGUCAUGGUUAAGUGGGAAACGAUGUGGGAAGGCCCAGACAGCCAGGAUGUUGGCUUAGAAGCAGCCAUCAUUUAAAGAAAGCGUAAUAGCUCACUGGUCGAGUCGGCCUGCGCGGAAGAUGUAACGGGGCUAAACCAUGCACCGAAGCUGCGGCAGCGACGCUGAUGCGUUGUUGGGUAGGGGAGCGUUCUGUAAGCCUGCGAAGGUGGCCUGUGAGGGUUGCUGGAGGUAUCAGAAGUGCGAAUGCUGACAUAAGUAACGAUAAAGCGGGUGAAAAGCCCGCUCGCCGGAAGACCAAGGGUUCCUGUCCAACGUUAAUCGGGGCAGGGUGAGUCGACCCCUAAGGCGAGGCCGAAAGGCGUAGUCGAUGGGAAACGGGUUAAUAUUCCCGUACUUGGUGUUACUGCGAAGGGGGGACGGAGAAGGCUAUGUUGGCCGGGCGACGGUU
rnacentral:rRNA from 1 species